AUGGAGCAAACCGAUUCGAUUUAUCAAGUUGACAAGGAUCCGCAGAGUAUUAGUUUUAAGUACAUUGUUAGAUGGCGGCACAUAACUGGUGUUUAAAAUCACUUCGUUUCCUUUUGAAAAAACAAUUGUUGUACGAGAGGGUGUCUAGCGGGCAAUCAAAAUAUCCUAGGACAACGAUUUUUUCAUCAGUUUGGAAGUAUUGAAUUUGUUUAUAAUUUUCGUAAAUUAUUUUCGUUAAUUGAAUUAAAUUUUAAAUAUUAGCA